GUACAAAUCUUGACUUUAAUAAAGAAAAGGACAAUACGUUUAAUCUUUUCUUUUUCUUUGCUACUGCUAUAUUUAUUUGUAUUCCUUUUUGUUGUUACUAUCCAGCUUUUUUUUUUUUUUGUACUUGCCUCUUGGAACAAAAUAGCUUUGGAGAUUUCCAUAUGAUACCUGAGAAAGCCAUUUCAGAGGAAUGACAAAUCAUGGUUGAAAUUAUCAACAUAACCAGAUUUCUGGAAGAGUCUUGGUUUUCUAUACUUCUUCUCAUCUGCCAUACACUAGAGUAGAGUUCUUUUUCUGUCAGAUGCCUUCAGAACAGUUCCUUGGGAGUCAGCCUGAGAUAUAGGACCGGUGGGAAACUGUUCAACAUGCGAAGACUCCAGGCUGUCACCAAGAUAAAGAAGACUGUGCUAUGAGACCUCCUUUUUACUGACGACUAUGCCCUGAAUGCUGGAUCAGAGCAGGAAAUGCAAGACAGCGUGGACAAAUUCACAGCAGCAUUCGACAACUUCAGCCUCCUCAUCAACACAAAGAAGACCGAAGUGAUGCGCCAGCCAGCUCUGAAUGCCCAACACCAAGAGUACAUUGUUGAAUAUGGCAAUGAGGAGGGAAAUAUUGAGCAAAGGUUUUCCUCUGGUCCGCCUGACAGGCAGGAGAACUGGAGGUUUAAAUUGAUUGGCUCAAAUACUUUAGGAGGGAAAUUUGAGGGAUCUCAGUGGCUGAGCUGUCAGGCAGCUCCCUUUAAAAGAGGGAGCUGCCGGACAGCUCAGCACUUCUUCGUUCCUGUGCCAUCCUUCAAUAAAAGAGCUGUUUGCCUGAUAUGUGAGUCCUGCCUCUUCAUUCGAUCCACAUUUAACAUACAUCAUCCCAGUGAAAGGACAAAAGCUGCAAGCAGUGGACCAAUUUACAUACCUUGGCAGCAUCCUCUCCCAUGCAGUGACAAUUGACAUUGAGGUCAACUGCAGAAUCACCAAGGCAAACUCUGCAUUUGGCAGACUACUGACUUAACAUGUGGGACCACAUGGAAUAAGCUUUGCUACAAAGCUCAAAGUCUACCAAGCAGUAGUGCUAACUACCCUGAUGUAUGCCAGUGAGACUUGCACUGUAUACAGGAGGCACGCUAGGCAAUUGAACCACUUCCACAUGAUCUGCCUCCACAGAUUUGUGAGGAUCUGGUGGCAGGACAAGGUGCCAGACACAGAAGUCCUCUCCAGAGCAAGCCUGCCAUCAGUUCACACCCUGCUGAUUAAAGCCCAGACAGGGCAGGCCAUGUUGCAAGGAUGCCAGACCACCACAUCCCCAAACAGCUCUUCUAUGGUGAGCUGUCUCAAGGAAAGCGAUCACACGGGGGACAAAGGAAGCGAUACAAAGACAAAGGGAAAGGCUGAAAGCCUCUCUCAAGUCCCUGGAUAUCGACACCACCUCCUGGGAAACCCUGGCACAAGAUCGAUCUACAUGACGCAUAUUGAUCCACCAAGGCUGCCGGACAUUUGAAGACAGAAGGACAACCAUAGCACAAGAGAAGUGUGCAUUCCACAAAGCCAGAGUUGCAAAUGCUGCAAUAGUGCACAGUGUGUACGCAGGUGGCUGGUAAGUCCUAUAUGGGCACGGAGUGUUCUGCCUGACAUGUGGCAGAACAUUCCGUGCCCAUAUAGGACUUACCUGCGUACACACUGUAGACCGCCCACAACCCGUUAGAUGUCAAGGUCCUCUUAGAAAACGAUGGACGAUCAUCAUCCUCAAGCUGUUCCAAGUAAAGCUGCCGUUUACAAUUGACCAGUGAUGAUUUUGUCAAUGCUAAUGGUGUUCAAGGAUGUUCCAGUUGUUUUCAGAUUGCUUCCAAGGUGCCUGUUACUAUUGGUACUAUCUUUGCUUUCUUUUGUCACAAUUGUUCUGUUUCUAUUUGCAAAUCAGACAGGAUAUGGAACUAAAAUAGCAUUGGUAGCACUCAUAGAUGAUCUUUGGCAGGAAUGGGAUGAAGGUAAUGAAUACAUCCUUUCUGUUCUUGAUUUCUCAGCAGCUUUCAUUACCAUUGACCAUGGUAUCCUUUUGGACUGACUGAGGGGGACAUGAAUUUACCCUUGAAAAGUAUCUGGAAGCUUCAGCUGGUGCAGAAUGUGGCCAUGCAAGCAAUUCUGGGAACCCAAAAAAGGGCGCAUGAAACCACCUGUGCUCUGCAAAUUGUGUUGGGUACUGGUUUGUUCUGGAUCCAAUUCAAGGUGUUGGUUGUUACCUAUAAAGCCCUACGUGGCAUGGGGUCAAGCUACGGAACUGUCUUCGACCCAUUACAUCAACUCAUCCUACUCAAUCAAGCAAGGAAGUUAUAUUGCAGACUCCAUCAGUUAAAAGAAUUGACUGGCCGGGUCUAGGAAUAGAGCUUUCUCUGCCAUCACCCUGACCCUGUAGAAUAUUCUCUCCCCCCACUAUUCCCAAGAAGUAAGGCAUGUUUGCACUCUCCUGGCCUUCUGAAAAAGAAUUAAAACAUCGCUGUAUAAUGUCACAUGAGGCUGGUUGGUACCCGUCAUCUUUUUAACUAAUUUUUAACAGGGAUAUCUCAUCUUUGCCUACUUUUAAAUUCUAAAUUUUAUUUUUUUUAAAAAAAAAUUAAAAUGAGAAUUUUUAAUUU